rnacentral:lncRNA from 1 species
AUUAUUUAAGAGCUUAGCCCAGUUAAAAUAAUAAACAUCCGACCCACUAAUAAAGUAGCUGAUUCGGUUGAUGGGGGAGGUGAAAAGUCUGGAUUGAUGAGGAGAAAGUACGGUGAAUUAAUUGCAUGCCAUUGAUACUGAUUUACUCCAUUGACGGAAUUGAGGGGAGAAGAUUUGAUGGUUGCGUCGACAAUGAAGAAGUAGAAGACGCUUGCUUGUAACCUACUUUAUUAGUGGGUCGGAUGUUUAUUAUUUUAACUGGGCUAAGCUCUUAAAUAAUAG